rnacentral:rRNA from 1 species
AUUGAACGCUGGCGGCAGGCCUAACACAUGCAAGUCGAGCGAGCGGCGGACGGGUGAGUAAUGUCUGGGAAACUGCCUGAUGGAGGGGGAUAACUACUGGAAACGGUAGCUAAUACCGCAUACCAUCAGAUGUGCCCAGAUGGGAUUAGCUAGUGGGUGGGUUAAUGGCUCCCCUAGGCGACGAUCCCUAGCUGGUCUGAGAUGAUGACCCGCCACACUGGAACUAAGACACGGUGCAGACUGCUACGGGAGGCAGCAGUGGGGAAUAGUGCACCAUCGGCGCAAGCCUGAUGCAGCCAUGCCGCGUGUGGGAAGAAGGCCAUCGGAUUGUGAAGCACUUUAAGCGAGGAGGCGUUACUCGCAGAAGAAGCACCGGCUAACUCCGUGCCAGCAGCCGCGGUAAUUC